rnacentral:rRNA from 1 species
AUACGGAGGAUCCAAGCGUUAUCCGGAUUUAUUGGGUUUAAAGGGUGCGCAGGCGGAAGAUUAAGUCGGCGGUGAAAUUUUGCAGCUCAACUGUAAAAGUGCCCUCGAUACUGGUUUUCUUGAGUGUGGAUGAAGUAGGCGGAAUUUGUGGUGUAGCGGUGAAAUGCAUAGAUAUCACGAGGAACUCCGAUUGCGCAGGCAGCUUACUAGGCCAUAACUGACGCUCAGGCACGAAGGCGUGGGGAUCAAACAGGAUUAGAUACCCUGGUAGUCCACGCAGUAAACGAUGAUUACUCGCUGUUUGCGGUACACAGUAAGCGGCUUAGCGAAAGCGUUAAGUAAUCCACCUGGGGAGUACGUUCGCAAGAACGAAACUCAAAGGAAUUGACGGGG